AACGAACGCUGGCGGCAUGCCUAACACAUGCAAGUCGAACGAGACCUUCGGGUCUAUUGGCGCACGGGUUCGUAACGCGUGGGAAUCUGCCCUUGGGUUCGGAAUAACAGUUGGAAACGACUGCUAAUACCGAAUGAUGACGUAAGUCCAAAGAUUUAUCGCCCAAGGAUGAACCGUCGUAGGAUUAGCUAGUUGGGUAGGUAAAGGCUCACCAAGGCGACGAUCCUUAGCUGGUAUGUGAGGAUGAUUAGCCACACUGGGACUGAGACACGGCCCAGACUCCUCCGGAAGGCAGCAGUGGGGAAUAUUGGAAAAUGGCCGAAAGCCUGAUCCAGCAAUGACGCGUGAGUGAUGAAGGCCUUAGAGUUGUAAAGCUCUUUUACCCGGGAUGAUCAUGACAGUACCGGGAGAAUAAGCUCCGGCUAACUCCGUG
rnacentral:rRNA from 1 species